rnacentral:rRNA from 1 species
UCGAGCGGCAUCGAGUGAGCGCAGUUUACUGAGUUCAUGUCGGCGAGCGGCGGACGGGUGAGUAAAGUCUGGGAAUCUGGCCGAAGGAGGGGGAUAACUGCUGGAAACGGCAGCUAAUACCGCAUGAAGUCGCGAGACCAAAGUGGGGGACCUUCGGGCCUCACGCCUUCGGAUGAGCCCAGAUGAGAUUAGCUGGUAGGUAAGGUAAAGGCUUACCUAGGCGACGAUCUCUAGCGGGUCUGAGAGGAUAGCCCGCCACACUGGAACUGAGACACGGUCCAGACUCCUACGGGAGGCAGCAGUGGGGAAUAUUGCACAAUGGGCGAAAGCCUGAUGCAGCCAUGCCACGUGUGUGAAGAAGGCCUUCGGGUUGUAAAGCACUUUCAGCGAGGAGGAAGCGAUAAAUGCCAAUACCAUU